rnacentral:rRNA from 1 species
GAUGAACGCGGCGGCGUGCCUAACACAUGCAAGUCGAACGGAGAUUAUUGACGGAAGUUUUCGGAUGGAAGACGGUAAUCUUAGUGGCGGACGGGUGAGUAACGCGUGGGUAACCUGCCCCGUACAGGGGGAUAGCGUCGGGAAACUGACGGUAAGACCGCAUAGGACCACAUAUUCGCAUGGAUAAGUGGUGAAAAGGGAAACCUGGUAUGGGAUGGAUCCGCGUCCGAUUAGCCAGUUGGCAGGGUAAAGGCCUACCAAAGCUUCGAUCGGUAGCCGGACUGAGAGGUCGGACGGCCACAUUGGGACUGAGACACGGCCCAGACUCCUACGGGAGGCAGCAGUGGGGGAUAUUGCACAAUGGAGGAAACUCUGAUGCAGCGACGCCGCGUGAGUGAAGAAGUGCUCCGGCAUGUAAAGCUCUUUCAGCAGGGAAGAUGAUGACGGUACCUGAAUAAGAAGCCCCGGCUAACUACGUGCCAGCAGCCGCGGUAAUACGUAGGGGGCUAGCGUUAUCCGGAUUUACUGGGCGUAAAGGGUGCGUAGGUGGUCCUUCAAGUCGGUGGUUAAAGGCUACGGCUCAACCGUAGUAAGCCGCCGAAACUGGAGGACUUGAGUGCAGGAGAGGAAAGUGGAAUUCCCAGUGUAGCGGUGAAAUGCGUAGAUAUUGGGAGGAACACCAGUAGCGAAGGCGGCUUUCUGGACUGCAACUGACACUGAGGCACGAAAGCGUGGGUAGCAAACAGG